rnacentral:rRNA from 1 species
UCGAACGGUAAGGCCCUUUCGGGGGUACACGAGUGGCGAACGGGUGAGUAACACGUGGGUGACCUGCCCUGUACUUCGGGAUAAGCCUGGGAAACUGGGUCUAAUACCGGAUAUGACCUUCUCCUGCAUGGGGGUUGGUGGAAAGCUUUUGCGGUACAGGAUGGGCCCGCGGCCUAUCAGCUUGUUGGUGGGGUAAUGGCCUACCAAGGCGACGACGGGUAGCCGGCCUGAGAGGGCGACCGGCCACACUGGGACUGAGACACGGCCCAGACUCCUACGGGAGGCAGCAGUGGGGAAUAUUGCACAAUGGGCGAAAGCCUGAUGCAGCGACGCCGCGUGAGGGAUGACGGCCUUCGGGUUGUAAACCUCUUUCAGUAGGGACGAAGCGCAAGUGACGGUACCUACAGAAGAAGCACCGGCCAACUACGUGCCAGCAGCCGCGGUAAUACGUAGGGUGCGAGCGUUGUCCGGAUUUACUGGGCGUAAAGAGCUCGUAGGCGGUUUGUCACGUCGUCUGUGAAAACCCGAGGCUUAACCUCGGGCCUGCAGGCGAUACGGGCAGACUUGAGUACUGUAGGGGAGACUGGAAUUCCUGGUGUAGCGGUGGAAUGCGCAGAUAUCAGGAGGAACACCGGUGGCGAAGGCGGGUCUCUGGGCAGUAACUGACGCUGAGGAGCGAAAGCGUGGGUAGCGAACAGGAUUAGAUACCCUGGUAGUCCACGCCGUAAACGGUGGGUACUAGGUGUGGGUUUCCUUCCACGGGAUCCGUGCCGUAGCUAACGCAUUAAGUACCCCGCCUGGGGAGUACGGCCGCAAGGCUAAAACUCAAGGAAUUGACGGGGGCCCGCACAAGCGGCGGAGC